AGCAGCCGCGGUAAUUCCAGCUCCAAUAGCGUAUAUUAAAGUUGUUGCAGUUAAAAAGCUCGUAGUUGAACUUCGGGGUUUACCCAUUGGUCAGGCUUAAUUGUCUGCACUGGUGAGAUGAGUCUCUACCUUCUGAGGAACUUUCAUGCCAUUUAUUUGGUGUGAUGGGAAAUCAGGACUGUUACUUUGAAAAAAUUAGAGUGUUUAAAGCAGGCUAACGUCUGAAUACAUUAGCAUGGAAUAAUGAAAUAGGACGGACUGAUUCUAUUCGUUGGUUUCUAGGAUCACCGUAAUGAUUAAUAGGGAUAGUUGGGGGCAUUAGUAUUCAAUUGUCAGAGGUGAAAUUCUUGGAUUUAUUGAAGACUAACUGCUGCGAAAGCAUUUGCCAAGGAUGUUUUCAUUAAUCAAGAACGAAGGUUAGGGGAUCGAAGACGAUCAGAUACCGUCGUAGUCUUAACCAUAAACUAUGCCGACUAGGGAUCGGACGAAGUUAAUUUUAUAAUGACGCGUUCGGCACCUUACG
rnacentral:rRNA from 1 species